GCCAGGCAUGGUGGUGCAUGCCUGUAAUCCCAGCUAUUUGGGAGGCUGAGGCAGGAGAAUUGCUUGAACCCUGGAGGCUGGGGUUGCAGUGAGCCAAGAUAAUGCCACUGAACUACAGCCUGGGUGACAGAGUGAGACUCUGUCUCAA
rnacentral:SRP_RNA from 2 species